rnacentral:rRNA from 1 species
AUUGAACGCUGGCGGCAUGCCUUACACAUGCAAGUCGAACGGCAGCACGGGUGCUUGCACCUGGUGGCGAGUGGCGAACGGGUGAGUAAUACAUCGGAACAUGUCCUGUAGUGGGGGAUAGCCCGGCGAAAGCCGGAUUAAUACCGCAUACGAUCUACGGAUGAAAGCGGGGGACCUUCGGGCCUCGCGCUAUAGGGUUGGCCGAUAGCUGAUUAGCUAGUUGGUGGGGUAAAGGCCUACCAAGGCGACGAUCAGUAGCUGGUCUGAGAGGACAACCAGCCACACUGGGACUGAGACACGGCCCAGACUCCUACGGGAGGCAGCAGUGGGGAAUUUUGGACAAUGGGCGAAAGCCUGAUCCAGCAAUGCCGCGUGUGUGAAGAAGGCCUUCGGGUUGUAAAGCACUUUUGUCCGGAAAGAAAUCCUUGGCUCUAAUACAGUCGGGGGAUGACGGUACCGGAAGAAUAAGCACCGGCUAACUACGUG